AACGCACAUUGCACCUUCUGGCAUUCUGGGAGGUAUGCCUGUUCGAGCGUCAUUACGACCUUCAAGCACAGCUUGGUUUUGGAUGUCACCGACCUGGCGCAUCUUAAAAGUAGUGGUGGUACCAUUUGACUUCAAGCGUAGUAAAUCUUCUCGUUCAUGGAGUUGGAUGCUGUUCCUGCCAGAGAACCCUUUAUUAUCAGGUUGACCUCGGAUCAGGUAGGGAUACCCGCUGAACUUAA
rnacentral:misc_RNA from 1 species